GUGGGGAAUCUUGCGCAAUGGGCGAAAGCCUGACGCAGCCAUGCCGCGUGAAUGAUGAAGGUCUUAGGAUUGUAAAAUUCUUUCACCGGGGACGAUAAUGACGGUACCCGGAGAAGAAGCCCCGGCUAACUUAGUGCCAGCAGCCGCGGUAAUACGAAGGGGGCUAGCGUUGCUCGGCAUUACUGGGCGUAAAGGGCGCGUAGGCGGACAGUUUAGUCAGAGGUGAAAGCACAGGGCUCAACCUUGGAAUUGCCUUUGAUACUGUCAGUCUUGAGUACGGGAGAGGUGAGUGGAACUCCGAGUGUAGAGGUGAAAUUCGUAGAUAUUCGGAAGAACACCAGUGGCGAAGGCGACUCACUGGCCCGUUACUGACGCUGAGGCGCGAAAGCGUGGGGAGCAAACAGGAUUAGAAACCCUGGUAGUCC
rnacentral:rRNA from 1 species